GUGGGGAAUAUUGGGCAAUGGGCGAAAGCCUGACCCAGCAACGCCGCGUGAGGGAAGAAGGUUUUCGGAUUGUAAACCUCUGUCCUUGGGGACGAAGAAAGUGACGGUACCCAGGGAGGAAGCCCCGGCUAACUACGUGCCAGCAGCCGCGGUAAUACGUAGGGGGCGAGCGUUGUUCGGAAUGACUGGGCGUAAAGGGCGCGUAGGCGGCCGAUUAAGUCUGGAGUGAAAGUCCUGUUUUUAAGGCGGGAAUUGCUUUGGGGACUGGUUGGCUUGAGUGCGGAAGAGGUAAGUGGAAUUCCCAGUGUAGCGGUGAAAUGCGUAGAGAUUGGGAGGAACACCAGUGGCGAAGGCGACUUACUGGGCCGUAACUGACGCUGAAGCGCGAAAGCGUGGGGAGCGAACAGGAUUAGAUACCCUAGUAGUCC
rnacentral:rRNA from 1 species